UAUGCGAAAAACAAACCUUAGCUAGCAGUAUCCUGAGUAGGGCGGGACACGAGGAAUCCUGUCUGAAUCUGGGUCGACCACGAUCCAACCCUAAAUACUAAUACCAGAUCGAUAGUGCACAAGUACCGUGAGGGAAAGGUGAAAAGAACUGAGGUGAUCAGAGUGAAAUAGAACCUGAAACCAUUUGCUUACAAUCAUUCAGAGCCCUAUGUAGCAAUACAGGGUGAUGGACUGCCUUUUGCAUAAUGAGCCUGCGAGUUGUGGUGUCUGGCAAGGUUAAGCAAACGCGAAGCCGUAGCGAAAGCGAGUCUGAAUAGGGCGCUUAGUCAGAUGCUGCAGACCCGAAACGAAGUGAUCUAUCCAUGAGCAAGUUGAAGCUAGUGUAAGAACUAGUGGAGGACUGAACCCAUAGGCGUUGAAAAGCCCCGGGAUGACUUGUGGAUAGGGGUGAAAGGCCAAUCAAACUUCGUGAUAGCUGGUUCUCUCCGAAAUAUAUUUAGGUAUAGCGUUGUGUCGUAAUAUAAGGGGGUAGAGCACUGAAUGGGCUAGGGCAUACACCAAUGUACCAAACCCUAUCAAACUCCGAAUACCUUAUAUGUAAUCACAGCAGUCAGGCGGCGAGUGAUAAAAUCCGUCGUCAAGAGGGAAACAACCCAGACUACCAGCUAAGGUCCCUAAAUCUUACUUAAGUGGAAAACGAUGUGAAGUUACUUAAACAACCAGGAGGUUGGCUUAGAAGCAGCCAUCCUUUAAAGAAAGCGUAAUAGCUCACUGGUCUAGUGAUUUUGCGCGGAAAAUAUAACGGGGCUAAAGUAAGUACCGAAGCUGUAGACUUAGUUUACUAAGUGGUAGGAGAGCGUUCUAUUUGCGUCGAAGGUAUACCGGUAAGGAGUGCUGGAGCGAAUAGAAGUGAGCAUGCAGGCAUGAGUAGCGAUAAUUAAUGUGAGAAUCAUUAACGCCGUAAACCCAAGGUUUCCUACGCGAUGCUCGUCAUCGUAGGGUUAGUCGGGUCCUAAGUCGAGUCCGAAAGGGGUAGACGAUGGCAAAUUGGUUAAUAUUCCAAUACCAACAUUAGUGUGCGAUGGAAGGACGCUUAGGGCUAAGGGGGCUAGCGGAUGGAAGUGCUAGUCUAAGGUCGUAGGAGGUUAUACAGGCAAAUCCGUAUAACAAUACUCCGAGAACUGAAAGGCUUUUUGAAGUCUUCGGAUGGAUAGAAGAACCCCUGAUGCCGUCGAGCCAAGAAAAGUUUCUAAGUUUAGCUAAUGUUGCCCGUACCGUAAACCGACACAGGUGGGUGGGAUGAGUAUUCUAAGGCGCGUGGAAGAACUCUCUUUAAGGAACUCUGCAAAAUAGCACCGUA
rnacentral:rRNA from 1 species